rnacentral:misc_RNA from 1 species
UUUCCGUAGGUGAACCUGCGGAAGGAUCAUUAAAAAAUUGGACUCCAUUGGUGAGUUCAUUAAUAAUCCUACCCUUUGUGAAUUUGUUUGUUUGAAUAAUUUUUUUUCCAAAAAAAUUAUUGAAUGUCUUUCCCUGUUUUGGUGGAGCUUGUAAAGUGAAACCAGGCAGGGGAAUGGCAAACAAUAAUUAUUUUUGAAAAAGACCUUUUUUUAAAAUUAACUUUUUUGUAUUCAUUUGUCUAAAAUUAUUUUUAUAAUAUAAAAACAACUUUUUGACAAUGGAUCUCUUGGUUCUCGCAACGAUGAAGAACGCAGCAAAAUGCGAUAAGUAGUGUGAAUUGCAGAAUACGUGAAUCAUCGAAUCUUCGAACGCAUAUUGCACUUUUUUAGUUUACUAAAAAAGUAUGUCUGUUUGAGUAUCAGUAAAAUAUUCUCAUAAAAAAUUUAUUUUUUAUGGUUAUGAGUGUUUUACAACGAUAACAAGUUGUUUCACUUUAAAUUCUUUGUUAUCAAAAAAUCAUUAAAAGCUAAUUUUAAAGAUUUUUUUAAAAUUGGAUAAAAUUUUCCGUAAAAAGGAAUAACCUAAACAAUUUUAAAAAAUUAAAAUUGGUUUGAUUUUUCUUGAUUUAAAAAGGAAAAAAAAGUAAAAAUUAACUUGAUCUCAAAUCAGAUAAGAGUACCCGCUGAACUUAAGCAUAUCAAUAAGCGGAGGAAAAGAAACUAACUAGGAUUCCCUCAGUAACGGCGAGUGAAGCGGGAAGAGCUCAAAUUUGAAAUCUUCAAGGUUUUACCUUGACGAAUUGUAGUUUAAAGAAGUGUUUUCUGUUGGAGUUUUGGUAAAAGUUCCUUGGAAAAGGACAUCAUAGAGGGUGAGAAUCCCGUAUUUGACCAUUAUCUCCAGCUUUGUGAUACACUUUCAAAGAGUCGGAUUGUUUGGGAAUGCAGUCCAAAAUGGGUGGUAAAUUUCAUCUAAAGCUAAAUACUGGCGAGAGACCGAUAGCGAACAAGUACCGUGAGGGAAAGAUGAAAAGAACUUUGAAAAGAGAGUUAAACAGUACGUGAAAUUGUCAAAAGGGAAGCGUUUGACACCAGUGUUGUUUUCUCGAAAAUCAAUUAAAAAAGGCCGGAUUUUGUGUUGUAUUGACUUUAUCAGCUUUCUGCACUUUUUUCUUGUCCUUUUUAAUGCACUUUUCGUUUAACAAGUCAACAUCAAUUUCUUUUGUUUGUAAAAGGUCAUUGGAAGGUGGCUUUCUUUUCGGAGAAAGUGUUUAUAGCCUUUGGCCUCUGCAAUCGGAGAGAUUGGGGUCUGCAGCGUAGAUCCUUCGGGGUUAGACACAUUUGUGCUAAGUUAUAGCCUUUCAUAGACAACUUGUUGACUAUGAUCAGUCAUGUAGCUUACUCGCUUAUGCUAUUU